GCCAAUUCCAGCCUGGUGAUUCGGCUGUGGGAGGAGAGUCCAAACAAAACAGAGGAUAGAUCUUGGCCGCAUGGACAUGAUUCCCUGACACUCUCAUGUUAUGAAUUUCCUGAGGCCUCUCGUGUUAUGACUUCUGUGUGCUUAACCAAUACCCUAAGCAUCAAUUAUUUUGGAGUAAAACGAAAUAAAACCAAACACAUAAAAUCACUUUUCCCAGGAAGUGUUUGUGGUAUGAAGUUCUCUGGAAUGUUCCUCCCAUGUCAUGCCUCCUUUUUUUGCCCUGCUCUUGAUUCGCAUUGGAUGGAGGUGGUUAAUAUCCUGGAGCCUUGGUGAAGUGCCAAAGAGCAUUUCUCGAAGAAACCUGAGCAAAGUGAUGUGAAUAUUUGACAGCUUUUCUUUCACGUGUAUCAAGACCUGAAUGCUCCUGGAAGCCACUUUUCUAAGCCCUCUCCAGGUUUUGCCCUGCAGGUCCAUGUCCAUAUGGAAACCGGCUUCCUGAAACAUGAAUUGAGGAAUUGUCCAGUAGAGAGAUUCAGAAUGGCAAGAGAAGACAGUGCCCUGAGAUGUUGAACUGAUUCGAGAGCUUCCAGACAGUCAAGGGAUGAUGUGGCAGGAUGACGUCCUCAGCUCCUGCCUGCUUGUGCGAAGGGACCAUCCACGGGAUGCGAUCGAGGGGCAAGCAUGUUCCCUCUCCCUCCUUCUGCUGUCAGUGAAUGCAACCGUGCCUGAGUAUCGUAUGGCCCCGCAAUAGUCCUUGUCCCAUUAAGGUGUCUUCAAAUGUCAAAGACAACAAGAGACAUUAGUGUCUCCUGGCAUCUCAGCUGAGGAUUCCCCACUCUAGAUUUCAAUGCAGUGGAACCUGACUCUCUCCGACCCCUCAGUGACUCUUCAGGCAAGAACAAUGUAGUACCGGGAAGAGCAAAGCCCUCCGCGGGCCAGAUCCAUGAGGAAAUGCCAACGCUGUCCAUCAUCGGGGGCCUCUCCCUGCUCACCUGCAAAGGCUGCAACCAAGAGUCCUCAGUUGGCUACGAGGAGAAUUGGG